rnacentral:rRNA from 1 species
UACGAAGGGGGCUAGCGUUGUUCGGAUUUACUGGGCGUAAAGCGCACGUAGGCGGCUUUUUAAGUCAGGUGUGAAAUCCCGGGGCUCAACCCCGGAACUGCCUUUGAUACUGGAAGUCUUGAGUAUGGUAGAGGUGAGUGGAAUUCCGAGUGUAGAGGUGAAAUUCGUAGAUAUUCGGAGGAACACCAGUGGCGAAGGCGGCUCACUGGACCAUUACUGACGCUGAGGUGCGAAAGCGUGGGGAGCAAACAGG